rnacentral:rRNA from 1 species
GACGAACGCUGGCGGCGUGCUUAACACAUGCAAGUCGAACGGAAAGGCCCUGCUUUUGUGGGGUGCUCGAGUGGCGAACGGGUGAGUAACACGUGAGUAACCUGCCCUUGACUUUGGGAUAACUUCAGGAAACUGGGGCUAAUACCGGAUAGGAGCUCCUGCUGCAUGGUGGGGGUUGGAAAGUUUCGGCGGUUGGGGAUGGACUCGCGGCUUAUCAGCUGGUUGGUGGGGUAGUGGCUUACCAAGGCUUUGACGGGUAGGCGGCCUGAGAGGGUGACCGGCCACAUUGGGACUGAGAUACGGCCCAGACUCCUACAGGAGGCAGCAGUGGGGAAUAUUGCACAAUGGGCGGAAGCCUGAUACAGCAACGCCGCGUGCGGGAUGACGGCCUUCGGGUUGUAAACCGCUUUCGCCUGUGACGAAGCGUGAGUGACGGUAAUGGGUAAAGAAGCACCGGCUAACUACGUG